rnacentral:lncRNA from 1 species
UAUUUUACUGACAUUUGAACUGAUGUAUUCUUUUGUAGUUGAACUAGUUUUUCUGUCGAUGAAGGGAAAAAUGACACAAGCAAGCAGAACCAUGCUUUUUAACCUCCUUUAGUGCUUUUUUGGGAGGAACUAUAUCCAUUGGAAGACUGAUCCAUGGAUUAUUGUCUCAGCAAUCUCAAAGCCUAAAUCUAGCAAUUGACCAAUGAAAUGAACACCCGAGUCGGUAGGUUCGUAAGUUAACAAUUGCCAAAUUUGACCAAAAAUGGUCAGCCAUUCAGCUCCAAGAGAUGGAGCGAACCUAUCAGAGUGACAAACAUUAUCAUAGGGAUAUCUUCUUCACCGCAGAGUGACAAACAUUAUAUCAUUUUGUGUACAAAGUUACUGCAAAAGACAUUAGCAGGCCAGAGAAUGAUCAUACCUGCAAGAUGAAGCUGAAAAUGCACAUCUAUGGUGAACUGAAAAACCACCAGAUGUUGAACAAAAUGUACACAAUAGAAGGAGCAUGAACAUGCAAUAGGAGGUGUGGGGAAAGCUGUGACGGGCACCUCCCGAGCAGGGGCAUCGAACGGCUUGGCACUGUCAUGUUGAACGACCCAGGAUGGUGUCAAUGAACGGCCGGGGCGCUGCAGCGACAGAGAAAAGUUGUUAGGAGGAUAAGAAACCAUUUUCCAAACAAGAAAAUAAACAAGUACAAGUACGAGUAUAGCAAGAGGGUUUGCUGGCAUGUUUAUGUGAAUGCGUAUGUUUGUUCAGUACACCAUGUUUAUGUUCUUCAGUACACUAUGUGAUGCAACACCAUGAAGGAACAGAAAAAACUGAAGGUAUUUUGUCGUGUUUUUUAACUACUUGUGGCAUUGCUCUGCUGAAAUAAACUGAAGGUAUUUUGUCGUGUUUUUCAUAUGAAGGAACUGACAAUUGAAGUACCCCCUCCCUUUUUUAUUACGAAAAAAAUAGUUUCAUGCUGCCAUGUUUGUUGUUUGUUCGAUGAGUAGGAAAAUCGCUUCGUGAGAUUGCUGGGGAGAAGUUUUCAAGGUUUCCUUAGUAGUACUGCUCUUCUUAAGAAGUCAUUCAACAACUUAUCACAGAGAUAAAAUCAUUUCUUCUUUCCCUAUGGUGUUUGUAGUUCAGAAAGUAUGUAUUAACAAUAGCAUUGUUAUUUAUGUAAGCUAGUUUGGCAUGCUAGGCUAAUGGUGACGGUGGACGAAAUACUAGUUGAGUCGUGUCAUGUGUUCCAUAUAAAUUGCAUAGAAAUUACUCUCUGCAUACCAUUUCUGAAUUUUCAAUGUCGUCAGAAUGGAGUACAGGAAAGGUAGAUGAUACCAAAAUUCAGCUAAUCGCUUGCAAGUGUUGUGCAAAAAUUAUGUAUUUAGUUUCGGUCCAAGCAAGAAUGAAGCAGUACAGGCACAGGGCUUCUUCAGUGGGUAUUGGAACAUGCCAACAUGAACAAACUGGUGGUACAUGCAGCAGCAACAUACACAGAUUGCGCAGGGAACAAUCUCAAGGGUGAGGCUAAGAGUUUGAUUAGUCUGGAAGUGUGAAAUUAUGGUUGUUGCAGGUGCUGAUUUAUGGAAAGCUAGUUUGCGUGCCGGAUGGCUUGGGCAAUCGUGAAGGAACUGUGAGAUGUAUUACUAUCUACUGCAUUGCCUUGAUCUAGUAGAUACAUCAAACCCAAAAAAUUCGAUAUUCUGUAGACUGCUAAUCAGACAUAUACUAGGCAGGGUUCAUGUAUGUAUUUAGGUGCUGAUAGGUAUGCUUGUUUUGCAUCUAGUAUCUCUGGUUAUGUGUUUCUGAAUUCAAGAAUAUUUAAAUUUUAAACUCGUUUGAUCAACAUUGCCUACAAUAUCAGAACUCAGGGGAUAGAAGCUUCAACGACUUUUCAGUCUUAGUAACUGAAUCCAAACAACAUUGCUUACUGAUAAUUCAGACAAAGGCUCACCAUCAGCUUAAGAUGCAAACAGGGAGUGCAAGCAGAGUAACUGAAUCCAAACAACACAAAUGCAUGAACAUGAUCUAAAAUUAUAAUGCGAGACCAUGCAUGAACAUGAUCUUGUGAACUGAAUGUAUGCAAGAGAAGGAGCAUUAACAUGCAACGGGAGGUGGGGGGAAAGCUGUGACGGGCACCUCCCGAGCUGGGGCAUCGAACGGCUUGGCACUAUCAUGUUGAACGACCUAGGAUGGUGGCAAUGAACGACCGGGGCGCUGCAGCGACAGAGAAAACUUGUUAGGAGGAUAAGAAACCAUUUUCCGGACAAAAAAAUAAACAAGUACAAGCACGAGUAUAGCAAGAGGGGUUGCUGGCAUGUUUAUGUGAAUGUGUAUGUUUGUUCAGUACACCAUGUUUAUGUUCUUCAGCGCUGGGGUG